rnacentral:ncRNA from 1 species
AACAGGGGAGCUUGUGUGACAGGCUGAGAGGAAGGAAUGACCUUCGACCCUUUAACCUGAUACGGAUAAUGCCGUCGUAGGAAGUCAU